ensembl:lncRNA
CCCAGUCAGACUCCUUCAUUCGUUCAAACACACAUCUCUUGAGCAGCUUCUCCAUUCUAGCUUCCGGGGAAGAGCCGAGAUGAGCUCUUACAGAUGAGCAAGAACUAGCUAAGCAAAGAAAGGAGUGAGAGCGGGGAUGUCCUGAAGAGAGGAAGAGUACGUUUGAAGGUUCAGAGGGCAGUCCCUCGCAGGAGGUUCAUGUGUGCUUGUGAAACGCAAGCACAUUAUCUCAGAGGCAAAACAGCUACAGGAAAGGAGGAAGAGUCCAAUGUGACAGAGAAAAGAUAAUCAUUGUUGGCAGUGUCAUCUUGACUCUCAAUGAUAGCGUCUGUGACAGGUGGGAGUGAGGCUGCAGAAUGAAACAGAGGGGGAAUCACCGGAAAGCAUCCUCCAUCUGCCUGGGAAGACCUGCAUCAGGCCUGAAAGUGAUAUCGUGGGAACCAACAGAGGACUUGGAAAUCGGAAGAGAUGAGAAUACGGAGACCCCUCUCCAGUGAAUUUCUGCACCGGUCGCUUUGCUCAGCUUUCCCUCCUGUUCCUGAAACGUCUUCCUCAUUCCUCUCAGCCUCUCUAAAUUCUCCAAAUGCUUCAAGUUUCACUAAUUCCCUUAUAAGGCUUAUAGAAUUUCCCACAUGGACCCUCAGUAGGUUAAAAUUUCCAAGAGCACAAAGAACACUUUUGAUUGUGUUCUUCCUCAUUUCCCCACUGUCUAGCACUGUACUUAGCGUUUGUCAGACGCUUAAAAUAUACGUGCUGAAUGAGUUGAUGGCUUUGAAUGACUGGGGGAAUUUUGGGUCCUUCACUCAUCUCAAGUAAACUGUGAAUCAUCAGAAAGAAUAGAAGGAAAAGAGAUUCAUUCUUCUCAAAACACACACCGUCUGUACCACAUAAUUUAGCAAUUAAUUAUGAUUAAUUUAGCAAUUAAAAUGAGCAAUUUAAUGCUCAUUUUGACAGUACAAAGAACCGGCAGCAUUUGUUUCCAUGUCACUUUAAGAACAUUUCCAGCUCAACUGACUGACUUAGGAGGAAUAAUAAUCACAAGUGACAGUGUCCAUGACGGCCUCCACCCAAAAACAUAAAGCGGACUAUUGUGUUCUUGCAGAUAUGAUACGCUUUGCAUUUUCUUUCUCUUGUUUUAUUUUUUAAUAGAAAUAUCUGUUGAUCUACAUGGCAUUCUCUGGAGAAUAUACGAGCUGGGUGUGAUGGGUAGAAUAAUGCCUCCCUCCCCCAAAGAUGUCCACUGUGACUAUGUUAUGUUACACGUGAGAGGGAAUGAAGGUUGCAGACAGAAUUAAGGCUACUAAUGAGCUGACUUUAAAACAUAGGAGAUUAUCCUGGAUUACCUAGGUGAGCCCAACAUAAUCACAAAGCCCAUACAGGACCUUUGUGGAGGAGGGAAGCAGAGGAGGCGGUAUUGCAGUGAUGCAUGUGAGAAAGACUCCACUGGCCAUUGCUGGCAUUGACCAUGGAAGAGAUCCAUGAGCCAAGGACUGAGGGAAGCUCCUGGAAACUGGAAAAGUCAAGAAAAUAGGUUUUCCCUUACAACCUCCAGAAGGAAUGCAGCCCUGCCAACACCUUAGUGUUAGCCCAUUGAGACGUGCUUUGGAAUUCUGAUCCCCAGAACAAUAAGAUAAUAGAUUUGUGUUGUUGUAAGCCACCAAGUUUGUGGUAAUUUGUUACGGCAACAAUAGGAAACUAGUACAUUAGGGGUUCUAAAUAAAAAGACAAGGAUGGGUGCAGUUGCAUUUUACAACUUAUCAAAAAAAGAUACAAUAAAAG